AUUGAACGCUGGCGGCAUGCCUAACACAUGCAAGUCGAACGGCAGCACGGCAGUAGCAAUACUGUGGGUGGCGAGUGGCGGACGGGUGAGGAAUACGUCGGAAUCUGCCCAGUCGUGGGGGAUAACUAGCCGAAAGGUUAGCUAAUACCGCAUACGACCGAGAGGUGAAAGCGGGGGACCGCAAGGCCUCGCGCGAUUGGAUGAGCCGACGUCGGAUUAGCUAGUUGGUGGGUAAAGGCCCACCAAGGCGACGAUCCGUAGCUGGUCUGAGAGGAUGAUCAGCCACACUGGAACUGAGACACGGUCCAGACUCCUACGGGAGGCAGCAGUGGGGAAUAUUGGACAAUGGGCGCAAGCCUGAUCCAGCAAUGCCGCGUGUGUGAAGAAGGCCUCGG
rnacentral:rRNA from 1 species